rnacentral:rRNA from 1 species
GACGAAAGCUGGCGGCGUGCUUAACACAUGCAAGUCGAACGAAGUGGCGAACGGGUGAGUAACGCGUAAUCAACCUGCCCUUCAGAGGGGGACAACAGUUGGAAACGACUGCUAAUACCGCAUACUGAAGGAGGGGAUUGCGUCUGAUUAGCUAGUUGGAGGGGUACCGGCCCACCAGGGCGAUGAUCAGUAGGCGGUUUUGUAGGAUGAACGGCCACAUUGGGACUGAGACACGGCCUAGACGCCUACGGGAGGCAGCAGGGGGGAAUCGUCCGCAAUGGACGAAAGUCUGACGGAGCAACGCCGCGUGAGUGAUGACGGCCUUCGGGUGGUAAAGCUCUGUUAAUCGGGACGCGGUACCGGAAUAGAAAGCCACGGCUAACUACGUGCCAGCAGCCGCGGUAAUAC